ensembl:misc_RNA Metazoa_SRP Metazoan signal recognition particle RNA
GCUGGGCAUGGUGGCUCAUGCCUGUAAUCCCAGCACUUUGGGAGGCUGAGGUGGGUGGAUCACCUGAGGUCAGGAGUUUGAGACCAGCCUGGCCAACAUGGUGAAACCCCGUCUCUA